GGCCGUGUGGUGUAGUGGUAGCAUACUUGCUUUGGGUAUUCUCGAUCUGAAACUUGCAAGUGGUCCCAAGUUUGAGCCCUGGCUUGGCCC